UACGUAGGUGGCGAGCGUUGUCCGGAUUUACUGGGCGUAAAGGGAGCGUAGGCGGACUUUUAAGUGAGAUGUGAAAUACCCGGGCUCAACUUGGGUGCUGCAUUUCAAACUGGAAGUCUAGAGUGCAGGAGAGGAGAAUGGAAUUCCCAGUGUAGCGGUGAAAUGCGUAGAUAUCGGGAAGAACACCCGUGGCGAAGGCGGCUCUCUGGGACGGUACUGACGCUGAGACGCGAAAGCGUGGGGAGCGAACAGG
rnacentral:rRNA from 1 species